UACGGGGGGGGCAAGCGUUGUUCGGAAUUACUGGGCGUAAAGGGCUCGUAGGCGGCCAACUAAGUCAGACGUGAAAUCCCUCGGCUUAACCGGGGAACUGCCUCUGAUACUGGAUGGCUAGAGGUUGGGAGAGGGAUGCGGAAUUCCAGGUGUAGCGGUGAAAUGCGUAGAUAUCUGGAGGAAUACCGGUGGCGAAGGCGGCAACCUGGACCGGCAUUGACGCUGAGGAGCGAAAGCCAGGGGAGCAAACGGG
rnacentral:rRNA from 1 species